rnacentral:rRNA from 1 species
UACGAAGGGUGCAAACGUUGCUCGGCAUCAUUGGGCGUAACGCGCACGUAGGCGGCCUCAUAAGUCGGAUGUGAACUCCCUCGGCUCAACCGAGGCCGUGCAUUCGAAACUGCGAGGCUCGAGUAUGGAAGAGGGUCGCGGAAUUCCCGGUGUAGAGGUGAAAUUCGUAGAUAUCGGGAGGAACACCAGUGGCGAAGGCGGCGACCUGGGCCAAUACUGACGCUGAGGUGCGAAAGCGUGGGGAGCAAACAGG